rnacentral:rRNA from 1 species
CCAGACUCCUACGGGAGGCAGCAGUGAGGAAUAUUGGUCAAUGGCCGGAAGGCUGAACCAGCCAAGUCGCGUGAGGGAAUAAGGCCCUAUGGGUCGUAAACCUCUUUUGUCAGGGAGCAAAGGCGUCCACGUGUGGACGAGAGGAGAGUACCUGAAGAAAAAGCAUCGGCUAACUCCGUGCCAGCAGCCGCGGUAAUACGGAGGAUGCGAGCGUUAUCCGGAUUUAUUGGGUUUAAAGGGUGCGUAGGCGGAUUUGUAAGUCAGCGGUAAAAAUGCGGUGCUCAACGCCGUAUCGCCGUUGAAACUGCAGGUCUUGAGUGAGCGAGAAGUAUGCGGAAUGCGUGGUGUAGCGGUGAAAUGCAUAGAUAUCACGCAGAACUCCGAUUGCGAAGGCAGCAUACCGGCGCUCAACUGACGCUGAGGCACGAAAGCGUGGGGAUCGAACAGGAUUAGAUACCCGUGUA